UUUUGAAAAUGAUGUCUACUCUAAAGUCAAAGGACCAGAGAAAAGGGGAUACAUUCGGUUAAUAGGUCGAAUGCCAACAGUUAAGGAGAGUGGUGCUUCGUCAUCUACACAGCCACAAUCUGUGGAAAGUCUCAAGAGUGAUUUGGCUACAACACAAAGUGAGUUGGCAACUACAAAACUUGCCGUGAGCACUUAAUUGAAUCUAUUUCAUGAACAUAUCCCAAAUGCAAACUUGUCCGGGAGUCCUUAACAAUCUGAAUAUGCAGAUUUCUGAUACGUCUUCAACUUUUCCGAAUAUCCCCUUAGCCAACCAAAGGUCACCUGGAACUAGUGGAGGAGGAAGUAGCUAGUGUUCUUUUUUAUGACUUGAC